UUACCAAAAGUAAUUUAGUUAAAUAUAUUACGAGGGUUUUUACUAUAUAAAGUAAUAAAACACAUUUAUAUUUGUUACAUUGUAAAGUUGAAAAGCAAAAUAUGGCUGACGUUCUCAAAUUUGUGUAUAUUGUGUUCUUAUUUGUUUCUCAAUUUUGUGCUGAACCCGACGACAAUCAAAAAAAUUGUGUUUCUGACUCCGAUUGUUAUAAAAAAUUUCAUCUUCCCCGUCAUUUUAUUAUGAAGUGCAUUAAAAAUCGAUGUACUUUUGUUUGAAUUUAAGGUAAAAUCUAUUUAUCUAUUAUGUCUUAGCCUUUCAUUCUUUUUGUUCAUCAUAAUAUUAUUAAUCUUACUAUUUCUCUCACACUUUCAUAUAUUUCUAUGAGCUUGCAAUUUCUUUGAUAGCCUUCAGUGGCGGAUCUUAAGUAAAUUUUUUGGGAUGUCAAAUUCCUAUGGAAUAUAUAUUAAAUGGUUUCAAGAAGUAUCAAUAAUUUAUAACCGGCCUAGUGGUAUAAAUCCUUUUAAAGGAGCAAGAGGGUGUGGGUUUGAAUCACUUCAAAAAUGUUUUUUUUUUUUAAUACAAAUAUAUAAUCGUAGAAGAUUGAAUAUGUAAUAAGAAGACGAAGGUGUUGAACCACACUAAAUCUCAUCCCUUCAAUUUGAUUACCUUAAAGACUUGAAAGCAAUCACCAAAAUGAUUAAUAAGGUCACAUAUUUCUUGAUUUAUCUUGCUAUAUGUUUCCUUUAAUAGUUGAUUUUACACUCUGAAUUUAUUUUCUCA